AAAAUCCUAGUGAAAAAGAUGAAACUCCUUGUGCUCAUCGAACACUGUGUCAUUUCCCUAUUUUCAUACGGAUUUU
rnacentral:ncRNA from 1 species